AGCCCAGUGAAAAGAAGUCAUGUCUUUUCAGCUUCUCUUCAGACUACAGCUAAACUCAAACACAUGAAGUCUUUGAGCUGUUGUUUUAUUGUGUAUGUGUGUGUGGUAGCUAACAGUAUGGAUGCCAGUGUGUUAUGGAGCUCAGAGCUGAGCCAGAUUCUCUAUCAGGGACGACUGGAGGACGCUGCAGUCAUUGUGAUAAUAGAAGAGCUGUAGAGUUAGCUGUUCACCUUUCUGUCGUCCUUUGCUUCAAGCCAUCAAGUGCAUCGGGCCAGGUGCUUGGCUGAUUGGGCUCCAGAGCGAUAGAUUGAGAGGUUUGGUUUCAGCAUGACACUGUGUGAAAAAGGAUGACUCCUUUACCUCAGAAAACCUCCCUUCCCAGCGCUGUCAUCCAGCGUGCAU